CAGAGCAUGGCUUAAUGAUAAAAGCAUCGCCCUUACACUGCGAGGAUACUCGUUAAAAUCGAGUUGCUCUGA
rnacentral:tRNA from 1 species